rnacentral:rRNA from 1 species
AGUUUGAUCAUGGCUCAGAUUGAACGCUGGCGGCAGGCCUAACACAUGCAAGUCGAACGGUAACAGGAUAGCUUGCUAUCGCUGACGAGUGGCGGACGGGUGAGUAAUACUUAGGGAUCUGCCUCUGUGUGGGGGAUAACUAUUGGAAACGAUAGCUAAUACCGCAUAAUGUCUCCGGACCAAAGAGGGCUUUUAGCUCUCGCGCAGAGAGGAACCUAAGCGAGAUUAGCUAGUUGGUGAGGUAAAGGCUCACCAAGGCGACGAUCUCUAGCUGUUCUGAGAGGAAGAUCAGCCACACUGGAACUGAGACACGGUCCAGACUCCUACGGGAGGCAGCAGUGGGGAAUAUUGCACAAUGGGGGAAACCCUGAUGCAGCCAUGCCGCGUGUGUGAAGAAGGCCUUCGGGUUGUAAAGCACUUUCAGCUGUGAGGAAAGUUUAGUAGUUAAUACCUGCUAGAUGUGACGUUAGCAACAGAAGAAGCACCGGCUAACUCCGUGCCAGCAGCCGCGGUAAUACGGAGGGUGCGAGCGUUAAUCGGAAUUACUGGGCGUAAAGCGCACGCAGGCGGUCUGUUAAGCUAGAUGUGAAAGCCCCGCGCUCAACGUGGGAGGGUCAUUUAGAACUGGCAGACUAGAGUCUUGGAGAGGGGAGUGGAAUUCCAGGUGUAGCGGUGAAAUGCGUAGAGAUCUGGAGGAACAUCAAUGGC